AGAUCUAUUUUUUGUAUUAUUUUGUUCUUUUUCUUUUUUAUUUCAACCCUAGCAGCAGCAGUCCCGCGAAACUCUCGGGUUCUCGAUUCGCCGGGCUGAUCUCACGAACGAUGAUGCGCUCGAGGGGUGAACGCGAGCUAGGCGGUCUUCUUCUCUCCAAUCCCCCUAAGAGUGAAAGAAAGAGAGAGAGAGAGAGAGAGAGAAGAAGAAAAAAAAAAAGAAAAGAGAUAUAUAUAAAAAUGGGAAGAAGAGGAAGAGGGAAGAAAAUGAAGACAUCGAAUGAAGAGGAGUAACUCGAAGUUGUACGCUUCGUCGAGAGAAACUCGAUCAAUGGCCUAGUCAUAUAUAAACGUAAAUACGUCUAUACAUGUGUGUGUGUAUGUGUGUAAACAAUCGUCGUUGGAAUAUUUCCGAAUAAAGAGAAAAAAAAAAGAGAGAGAGAGAGAGUUCUAUCUUCGGAAAGCAAGCAACAGCAACAGCAGCAGCAGCACCAGUAGGAGUCGGUAGCAAGCACGAGGACACCGGCAUCAGCAUCAGCAUCAGCAUCGAAGUAGAAGAG